AUAUGCAGGGAUUUGUUGCAAUGCUUCAGUCAAUGGAAUAAUAAUCUCCAAGUUUUUGAAGAUCUCAUUAAAACACCCAAAUUAUUUCUCUUUUUUCUUCCUGGAAUAACUCUUUGGGUAAGGAAGAGAUUUCUCAACUAUUUUUUCCUUUUUUCUCUCGUCCUCUUCUUCUUCUUUUUCCUCCCCCUCAUCAUUCUCCUUUUCUCUCUUUUUCUCUACCUCACCUUUUCUCUGUUCAUUUUCUUCUUCUUUUUCACUCAACUCAGCUUUUUGUUUUCUUUCAAUUUUUCUCUCAUCUAACAUCUCA
rnacentral:lncRNA from 1 species